AUUGAACGCUGGCGGCAGGCUUAACACAUGCAAGUCGAGCGAGCGGCGGACGGGUGAGUAAUGUAUGGGAAACUGCCUGAUGGAUGGGGAUAACUACUGGAAACGGUAGCUAAUACCGCAUACCAUCAGAUGUUCCCAGAUGGGAUUAGCUAGUAGGUGGGGUAAUGGCUCACCAAGGCGACGAUCCCUAGCUGGUCUGAGAGGAUGACCAGCCACCCUGGAACUGAGACACGGGCCAGACUCCUACGGGAGGCAGCAGUGGGGAAUAUUACACAAUGGGCUAAAGCCUGAUGCAGCCAUGCCGCGUGUGGGAAGAAGGCCUUCGGGUUGUAAAGCACUUUCAGCGAGGAGGCGUUACUCGCAGAAGAAGCACCGGCUAACUCCGUGCCAGCAGCCGCGGUAAUUC
rnacentral:rRNA from 1 species